ACCUGGCUGGCUCAGCCAGUAGAGCAUGCGACUUUUGAUCUCAGAGUUGUAGGUUCAAGCCCCAUGUUAGGUA
rnacentral:tRNA from 1 species